ACAGUGUUCGGAAUUCUCGCUGCUUUGCCAAGUUGGGACCAACUAGAAGCGAACUUGUCUCGCGUUGACUAUGAUCUACCACCUUGGAUACACACAGGUCAAGUUACACAGGUCAGGACCCAGCUUCUAUUCACCUACAUCCAGUCUGCAACCCUUACAGAGCUUGCCACGUCAUUUCAUUUGAUUCAGCAAUGGGAGGACGUUCGUCUACAGUACGACGCCAGCUCCAUCAUUUUUGCGGGGAAAUACGUUUUGGUGGACCAGGAUAAAUACGCCACGAUAUGGACGCCCGAUAGCUACAUCAGCAACGCAAUAUCUGAAGUUCAGCACAGCGUAACCAAACCCAAUGUAUUCAUACGCAUAUAUCCUAACGGAACUUUAGUCAAGAGUACAAGACUGACUGUUCGAACACCAUGCCCUCUGAAGUCACAAGGUUUUCCACGUGGUUCCCAGUCUUGCGAAAUUACAAUUGAAAGUUACACCUAUUCAGCAUCGGAGAUGAGCAUGGUUUGGGACCAACAGAACCCUUUUAGAUACAAGCACCCGUUUUCCGCCAGUAGUUCGAGUGUAACAAAUAUAAAAGAAGGCAGCUGCACAGACCCAACACAAGAGUACCCUUGUUUAAAAUACAAUGUGGGGAUAGUGAGGGACUUCAGCCAAUACAUAUUACGUAUCUACGUCCCUAGCUUGUUCAUCGUCAUCUUGGGAUGGCUGAGUAUGUGGAUUGACAAGGCUCAAGUCGGCGCGCGCACCAGUCUGGGCGUGUUAGGUGUUCUCUCCAUAGUAACACAACUGGUGGGCGUGGUUUCUCUAGGAAACGGACUGGAGGGGGUGUUGGCCAUUGACAUUUGGAUUGCAGUAUGCAUGGUUUUUACCAUUAUGGCACUUUGUGUCUUUGCCGUUGUGCAUAACAUGAAACGGAGGAAGGAUAAGUCCAAAAACAAAUAUAAGGAGAAUUCUGGGACUGAAGAAGGUGAUGAACAUUCUUGUUGUAAAAUCCAACACGGAAAAUUACAGAAUAUAUUUAGAGUUGUCUACCCUUUUCUUUUCAUAACCUUUAAUGUUGUAUAUUGGGCCUACUUCUUAAACGUGAAUUAAGAAGAGCAUUUAUGACUGUAUUCAAAAUAAAAACUAACAAAAUUGUACUUGUAGUAUAUAUAUGUAAUAAAUAUCAAUAUAGCUUGU
rnacentral:misc_RNA from 1 species